rnacentral:rRNA from 1 species
AGAGUUUGAUCAUGGCUCAGGACGAACGCUGGCGGCGUGCUUAACACAUGCGAGUCGAACGGUAAGGCCCUUCGGGGUACACGAGUGGCGAACGGGUGAGUAACACGUGGGUGAUCUGCCCUGCACUUCGGGAUAAGCCUGGGAAACUGGGUCUAAUACCGGAUAGGACUCCUGGCUUCAUGGUUGGGGGUGUAAAGCUUUUGCGGUGUGGGAUGGGCCCGCGGCCUAUCAGCUUGUUGGUGGGGUAAUGGCCUACCAAGGCGACGACGGGUAGCCGGCCUGAGAGGGUGACCGGCCACACUGGGACUGAGAUACGGCCCAGACUCCUACGGGAGGCAGCAGUGGGGAAUAUUGCACAAUGGGCGCAAGCCUGAUGCAGCGACGCCGCGUGAGGGAUGACGGCCUUCGGGUUGUAAACCUCUUUCAAUAGGGACGAAGCGCAAGUGACGGUACCUAUAGAAGAAGGACCGGCCAACUACGUG